rnacentral:tRNA from 1 species
GCCCCGGUAGCUCAGCCUGGGAGAGCGACCGGCUGAAGACCGGUAGGUCCCGGUCGUACGCUCACGUGAGUGAGCGUACGGGGAAAGUUCAAGUCCCGGCCGGGGCA